rnacentral:misc_RNA from 1 species
GAAUCAACUCACGCACUUUUGCGUGGUCGUGGAGGAAGAGUCCGUCUUGCUGCGGUCUCCCCCCGAAAAUCAACGGCGGAAAGUCACUGGCGCCUGGCGUAGUAGUAUUGUUCGCCGUUCAACCAGUGUCGUUCCUGCCGGCAAACCCCCCACAGUUCUCUU